rnacentral:rRNA from 1 species
AGCUCCAAUAGCGUAUAUUAAAAUUGUUGCGGUUAAAAAGCUCGUAGUUGGAUAUAUCUGUCUUUUACCUACAUUCGUGUAAGGAGAAAAGGCGGAAUCUUAAGGUUUGCGAUUGCGCUUGAUUGCGCAGCGUAGUCCUUAUAUUUUUUACUUUGAGGAAAUUAGAGUGUUUCAAGCAGACAUAUGUCUUGAAUACAUUA